rnacentral:lncRNA from 1 species
UUUGAAGUUAUAAACAACCUCUGGUUUUACAAACUUCUCACCUAAUCACUACCCUGUGGAAUUUCUAUCUAAGACACUCUUAGAUAUGAGACCCUUCUCAGUUCCCUUCAAUCACACAACAGUGAUAACAACGGAAAAACAAUCAAAGAAUAGAAUAUAAACUCCAAUGAAAACAUAAUUCACUCUUACUUAAAAGCUCAUGAGUG